rnacentral:rRNA from 1 species
GCGGUUAAAAAGCUCGUAGUGAUUGGUCCGCGCCGGUUCAUCGUCCGCGGUGUUAACUGGCGUGCCGCGGGACGUCCUGCCGGUGGGCUUAGCUCUUGGCGGCCCAACUCAAUCCCGCCGCGGUGCUCUUCAUUGAGUGUCGAGGUGGGCCGGCACGUUUACUUGAAAAAUUAGAGUGCUAACAGCAACUUCGCUGAAUAUGUGCAUGGAAUAAUGGAAUAAGACUUCGGUUUGUUUCGUUGGUCUUGGAACCGAAGUAAUGGUUAAGAGGGAUUGACGGGGGCAUCCGUAUCGCUACGUGAGAGGUGAAAUUGUUACGCCAAGAAAGGCAUUUGCCAAAAACGCUUUCAUUGAUCAAGAACGAAAGUUAGAGGCGAAGGCGAUCAGAUACCGCCCUAGUUCUAACCAUAAACGAUGCCAGCUAGCGAUCCGCCGACGUUCCUCCGAUGACUCGGCGGGCGGCUUCCGGGGAACCAAAGCUUGCAAAGCUGAAACUUAAAGGAAUUGACGGAAGGGCACCACCAGGAGUGGAGCCUGCGGCUUAAUUUGACUCAACACGGGAAACCUCACCGGGCCCGGACACCGGAAGGAGUGACAGAUUGAGAGCUCUUUCUUGAUUCGGUGGGUGGU